rnacentral:rRNA from 1 species
AACGAACGCUGGCGGCAGGCUUAACACAUGCAAGUCGAACGGUUGUAGCAAUACAGCAGUGGCAGACGGGUGAGUAACACGUGGGAACCUUCCUAGGGGUACGGAACAACUCAGGGAAACUUGAGCUAAUACCGUAUACGUCCGUGAGGAGAAAGAUUUAUCGCCCUUAGACGGGCCCGCGUAGGAUUAGGUAGUUGGUGGGGUAAUGGCCUACCAAGCCUACGAUCCUUAGCUGAUCUGAGAGGAUGAUCAGCCACACUGGGACUGAGACACGGCCCAGACUCCUACGGGAGGCAGCAGUGGGGAAUCUUGGACAAUGGGCGCAAGCCUGAUCCAGCCAUGCCGCGUGAGUGAAGAAGGCCUGGUUGUAAGUA